CUGCCAGGGCACAUCAACAAGUCACCCACUUGGAGACCAGGAUGCCCACCUCCCCUUCUCCACCUUCUACAGUCUCCGCGUGACCCCAAAAUUCCAUCAACAAGCCACUAACUGGAAGACAAAUCUGAAGAACAUAAAAUGCAGACACUUCGGAUAAAUCUAAGGAAGGAGAGUUGUUAUCAGUCGAGGACAGGAUAUUCCCUCUGUGAUUUUCAGAGACUUCUCCGGAUAUGGGACAGCCCGAUGUCAAGAAGAGAGGGCCGUUCUCUCCCCGCGGUCACCCAAUGGACUGACGAGGACUUUGCAGUCCUUACUGUUCACUAGGAGCAGAGGGCUGGGUCCCGCUCCCAGGCUACUGGAAGAUACAUGCUCCAGGAACAGUGCCCUUGCAGGAAUAGAAUAUACUAUCCAGCGUCUGACCAAAAGAGCCACCGAAUAAAUGUUUUAAACCAAA